AUGGCGACGCUCUUCCUCGCCCUGCAGUGCGUGGAGUGCUCCACCAUGCAGGUGAAGCAGCAGAAGAAGAGCAGCAACAAGUGGGCGUGCGUGGUGUGCAACCGGCGCCAGUCCGUGCUCCGGGUGCACGCCCGCGGCUACCGCGCCGCCGACCUGCGCCGCUUCGUCCAGGACGCGAACCUCGCACGCGGCCGCGGCGCGCCCGUGCGCGAGGCGGACUGGGACCCGCCGGUGGCCGGGGAUCAACAAGACGAGCCCCCGAGGGAGAAGAAGCGGAUGGACUGGUCCGAGUACCUGGACGACACCGGGGAGCGUCAUGCCGGCCGCGGCUUUGCCGAUUCUCGUGAUGAUGGGAUUGAAGUGACAACUGAGCUACCCCAGGAAAGACCUAAAGCUCCUUCCUUGAAGAGGCCCCGAAAAGCCCAAUUGGGUGUAGCUGGAAAGAGGCCCAAACCACCAAUCAACCCCUCUUUAUCCAAGAUGCAGCAAAUGGAACAAGGUCCAACUUGCUCAACUGUCUGCUCUGCAACUUCUACUGCUGAAGCACAAAGAUCAAAGUUCAGCAAGUAUUUGGACAGUAGCUUCUUUGAAGAUAGAAAUCAGGAGGGUUCUGGGCUCCAUUGGACUGACCUUGAUGAAAGUGCUCCCACUACUGAGGUAGUGGUGGAUGAUGAGCCAUGCACAAAAGCCCAGGCAAAUGAUUGCCUCUCUUUUCUGUUGGAGCGACAGAGCCAUUAG
rnacentral:rRNA from 1 species